AUUGAACGCUGGCGGAAUGCUUUACACAUGCAAGUCGAACGGCAGCACGGACUUCGGUCUGGUGGCGAGUGGCGAACGGGUGAGUAAUGUAUCGGAACGUGCCCAGUCGUGGGGGAUAACGUAGUGAAAAUUACGCUAAUACCGCAUACGAUCUAUGGAUGAAAGCGGGGGAUCGUAAGACCUCGAGCGAUUUGAGCGGCCGAUAUCAGAUUAGGUAGUUGGUGGGGUAAAGGCCCACCAAGCCAACGAUCUGUAGCUGGUCUGAGAGGACGACCAGCCACACUGGAACUGAGACACGGUCCAGACUCCUACGGGAGGCAGCAGUGGGGAAUUUUGGACAAUGGGCGAAAGCCUGAUCCAGCCAUUCCGCGUGCAGGAUGAAGGCCCUCGGGUUGUAAACUGCUUUUGUACAGAACGAAAAGGUUUCUACUAAUACUAGGAGCUCAUGACGGUACUGUAAGAAUAAGCACCGGCUAACUACGUGCCAGCAGCCGCAGUAA
rnacentral:rRNA from 1 species